AAGAAAGUGCCUGAAUUUAAAGGGUUAUUUUGAUAGAGUAGAUUAUACAGUUUUCUGUCUUUCUUA
rnacentral:tRNA from 1 species